rnacentral:tRNA from 1 species
GCCCGAGUGGCGUAAUUGGUAGCCGCAGGAGACUUAAAAUUUCCCGACCGCAAGGUCAUGUGGGUUCGAUUCCCACCUCGGGCACCG